rnacentral:lncRNA from 1 species
AUGAGGAUGGGGAACCUGCGGCUCAGCCCCAGAGUGAGGGCUCAGCACGUCAGUCCCCAAUUCCAGAAGAGGGAAGGAAGCUUCUGGAAGCGCUGCUAUGCAGGUGGGGUUGUCCCAGCCCGGAGAACCCCACCAGACCAAGCAGGCGUGAGCAGAGGCCCAGACUCUCGGCAACUAUGGGGGAGGGUGCCCCUCAGCAGAGGUGGUGAGAGCAGUCACAUCCACGAAACCCCAGGAGGCUCCACCUUCCGCUGACUUUGUGUCCACGUCUACCAUCAAAUAAAGCAACAGGGCUCUCCUCUCAAAGUGAACACAAGUCUCAGUUCUUUGGGGAAUUUAGUUUUGAAGGUCAGUUAGGGUUCAAGAGAGUUACUCUUGUACAGUUACCAAAAGGAGCACAUCUUUUUCAAAAGUAAGUCCCAUUUGCUUUUCUUGCAAAAUCUUCCAUUUUGGAUUACCUUGCAAGCAAAAAGUGCUUAUGAAGUAAAAAAAAAAAAAAAAAUUCUUUGUAUGCUUGCCUGAUACUUACGUUUAU